rnacentral:rRNA from 1 species
UGGGGGAUAUUGCACAAUGGGCGAAAGCCUGAUGCAGCGACGCCGCGUGGGGGAUGAAGGCUUUCGGGUUGUAAACCUCUUUCGCUAUCGAACAAGGCCCGCUUAGGGUGGGUUGAGGGUAGGUGGAGAAGAAGCGCCGGCUAACUACGUGCCAGCAGCCGCGGUAAUACGUAGGGCGCGAGCGUUGUCCGGAAUUAUUGGGCGUAAAGGGCUUGUAAGCGGCUUGUUGCGCCUGCUGUGAAAACGCGGGGCUUAACUUCGAGCGUGCAGUGGGUACGGGCAGGCUUGAGUGUGGUAGGGGUGACUGGAAUUCCAGGUGUAGCGGUGGAAUGCGCAGAUAUCUGGAGGAACACCGAUGGCGAAGGCAGGUCACUGGGCCAUUACUGACGCUGAGGAGCGAAAGCAUGGGUAGCGAACAGG